UGGCUCAGAUUGAACGCUGGCGGCAGGCCUAACACAUGCAAGUCGAGCGGCAGCACGGGUACUUGUACCUGGUGGCGAGCGGCGGACGGGUGAGUAAUGCCUAGGAAUCUGCCUGGUAGUGGGGGAUAACGUUCGGAAACGAACGCUAAUACCGCAUACGUCCUACGGGAGAAAGCAGGGGACCUUCGGGCCUUGCGCUAUCAGAUGAGCCUAGGUCGGAUUAGCUAGUUGGUGAGGUAAUGGCUCACCAAGGCGACGAUCCGUAACUGGUCUGAGAGGAUGAUCAGUCACACUGGAACUGAGACACGGUCCAGACUCCUACGGGAGGCAGCAGUGGGGAAUAUUGGACAAUGGGCGAAAGCCUGAUCCAGCCAUGCCGCGUGUGUGAAGAAGGUCUUCGGAUUGUAAAGCACUUUAAGUUGGGAGGAAGGGCAGUUACCUAAUACGUAAUUGUUUUGACGUUACCGACAGAAUAAGCACCGGCUAACUCUGUGCCAGCAGCCGCGGUAAUACAGAGGGUGCAAGCGUUAAUCGGAAUUACUGGGCGUAAAGCGCGCGUAGGUGGUUCGUUAAGUUGGAUGUGAAAUCCCCGGGCUCAACCUGGGAACUGCAUUCAAAACUGUCGAGCUAGAGUAUGGUAGAGGGUGGUGGAAUUUCCUGUGUAGCGGUGAAAUGCGUAGAUAUAGGAAGGAACACCAGUGGCGAAGGCGACCACCUGGACUGAUACUGACACU
rnacentral:rRNA from 2 species